UACAGAGGUCCCGAGCGUUGUUCGGAUUCACUGGGCGUAAAGGGUGCGUAGGUGGCGGGGUAAGUUUGAUGUGAAAGCUCAGGGCUUAACCCUGAAAUGGCAUUGAAUACUACUCUGCUGGAGGUUUGGAGGGGGGACUGGAAUUCUUGGUGUAGCAGUGAAAUGCGUAGAUAUCAAGAGGAACACCAGUGGCGAAGGCGAGUCCCUGGACAACACCUGACACUGAGGCACGAAAGCUAGGGGAGCAAACAGG
rnacentral:rRNA from 1 species